UUAGAGCGACGGGCGAUGUGUACAUAUUUUAGAGCUAUUAUCAACUUAUUAAUCUAUAUAAAUUUACUAUCAAAUCCAAUUUCAUUAAACUAUUACAAAUUUAAAUCCAAUAUAAUAAAAUAAAUGUAACCCAUUAUAAACUUAAACAUAAGCUACAUCUUGAUCUGAUAUAAUUUAAAUUAAAAAUUUAGAAAAUUAAUAUUCUUAUAAAAUAUUCAUUAACGACGAUAUAUAUACUAUAAAAACAAAUUUAAGUGAGAUCCAUCGUGGACUAUCGAUUACAAAACAGGUUCCUCUGAAUAGACUAAAAUACCGCCAAAUUUUUUAAAUUUCAAGAUCUUAACUAAUACUACUUAAAUAUUAUAAAUUAAAUUUUUAAUAAUAGGGUAUCUAAUCCUAGUUA
rnacentral:rRNA from 1 species